AAUCUGUAGCCAGAAAAAUAAACUUUUUUUUUUCUCCUGGAAAGUAUGUUUUUAAAUUCAAUAUUGUAUUGGACGAGAAAAGAACUCCCUUGUAUGCGCUCCUCAAAAAGGCAUAGUACUUGAUUCCACUGUAUGCAUUGAGGGACAUCUACCAACAAUUGUACUAAUCCAACUGCAUAUGUCUUUCUCCUACCGAAAGGAAAUAAAAAAACAAACAAGGAUUUCCCCAAGUCUAUGUUAGGUAUCUCAAAGUGCCUCUAAGAUUUAUUUCCCAUGAAUGAAGUAGUCACUGUUUCUUUCUCCUAGUUGGUAAUAACUAUAGUAGUGCUUAAUAGAUCUACAAGAUUUUGGAGAGUUGGCGAUAAGAGAGUGCAAGCCUACCACUCUAUGUCACAUAUUCCUCAUUCUAGCUAACAUAGUCCAAGAUGGCUUAGUUCUUGGUACAGUUCUUGGAAUGAAGAAUGAAUUACUCGCCAAUACUAAACUAGUCCUUUUAAUAAAAGUGUACGGACAAUUUGUGAGCACCUUGAUCGACUAAUUCUGUGGGAUACUUGCUACCUCCCAACCAGCACAGGGACCGGGUAACUGUGUCCACUUAGGCUAGGACAACUAUAUAAAUCUUCAUUCUUCUUCAUUUAGACUUACUUCAUUUCAAUAACUAAUUGUUUCUUCAGACAAGUAUGGGUCCUCUUUAUUCUAAUUACUUCAAUCACCUUCAGUCAUCAUAGUGUCUCUCACCUAUACACCGAUACAUAUGGUGGCCUACAUAAUCAAAUCAUCUCUAGAGACUUCCUCUUGUUUUUGCACCCUCAGUGAAAUGUGAUUAUUUCUAGUUUUCUAUAAUUUUGUCUUUUCCACGUCUUUCUUUUUAUUCACAUCUAUCUUAACAUAAUUUCAACUACAUAUGUUACCAUGUUGGAAGUUAAAGCUUAGCAUUCACACUCAUGUAACAUUGUUGGUCUGGUUAUCAUUUUAAUUAUGCAUCUUCAUACGGCAUCGUACUUUCCUAAACCUCCUUCAUCUACCAUCUAUUGUAGUUUUUUCUUGUAGGUUAUUUAACUCUUUACUGUAUAUAAAUCACCUGAAUCAGAAUUACGGUUCAGCUAAGAACCACUCAGCUUAGUCUUAAAGAAAGAGCCAAAGUUCACCCUAACAUCAUCUACCACAUAUACCUGUCUACUUUCUACCUAGCUACAAAUAAAAUUUAUAUCAUCCAAGAUUUAUUAGGCUUCUAGUUCCAGAAAUAGCUCUAAUGUUACAUAUAUAGGCGUCUUCCCUUUUGCGUCUGGAUCACCCACUGAAGAUGAGCCUCCCGGUUACUGCUGGUGCAGUUCUAUUUUUGCAUCAAAGCUAAGAGUAGAGCCCAUAGCUGCUUUGUGAAAACACAAUGAACAAAUAGAUGUCUCUUGUUUCCAGUUCCUUUUGCCGAAAGAAUGCAGUUGGCAUUCACAUCUACCCCCCAGUGUAUUAGUCUAUCUUUUGUUAAUAACUUUGCAUGAAGUUGCAGCCAUGUUGUGAACAUAGCUUUGUUUCAUGCAGCAUUGCCAAAUAUAAGGCAUUUACAUGGUACCCUAUACCCUCUCCAAGAAGUUUCGAAUAGAUUUGUCUGAUUAGCCCUUUAGGAUUAGUGACUAUAUGUUGAAUCUGCUCCCAGAUUUCCUAGCUUCCAUGUUGAGCUUAAAGUUUUGAUAUAGUAUGGAUGUAUCCAUCUUAGCCACAACCUAUCUUGUUUGGGAGUGAGUUCACAAUACAUUUUUGCUAUAGCUGCUUUGUUCCAGAUUUGUAGGUUGAAAGGCACACUGUGUCUCAAGCAACUUAUGCUCUUUCGGUGAUGGUAUUGUCCCUGACCUGACAUAACUUCUACAAUAAUCAUCUCCAGUCUUCACCACUUUGUUAGGCAAUUGGGACCAAUAAGAUUGAAUACUAAAUAAAACAGAUUGGACCAGUUGAAUCCUUUCUGUAAAUGAAAGCUUUCAGCCCUGAUGCUAAUGAAAACUGAUUAAAGCAGACACUUCAAGCAUUAAGAGAAUCGAAAUCACCUCUAACAAACAGUAGCAAGUCAUCAGCGCAGCUUAAACGAGUCACUUCCAUCUUACUUAGGAUGAAAUUUGUACUUUCUAUUAUGUUUCAGAUUAGUAAAGCAUCUAUUUAGGUUUGUCUGUUAAAUAUUCAUCUGCAUGUCAUUCUUUGGGAAGAUCAAGUCUAGGUAUCUAAAUUGUUUGCAUGUAGACACUAAAAUAUUGCCUAAUCUCACUUCACUUCCUUCUCGCAUAAAAUUUAUGUCAUAUGCAACAGGGUUUUUGUAAGUAUGAAUUGCAAUACUGCGAAUCCGAUUCAUUACAAUCUCUAUUGUGUUAGGGUGUGCAUCCAAGGUUUACUGGAGAGAAUUUGGAGAAGAACAAAGUUCUUUACACUAGAUUUGCUAACUUAGCAGCAAAGCAUGGUUGUACACCUCCUCAACUAGAGCUUCUACAUCAGGGAGAUGACGUAGUUCCGCUACCCGGAACAACAAAGAUUAAGAACCUAACGGCCAACAUUCAAUCCGUAGCAGUGAAGCUUACACCAGAAGACGUGAAGGAAAUCGCGGAUGUCAUCCCCGUUAGUGAAGUCUCUGGAGAAAGAGAGCUCGGAGUGUUGUCUAAGUACACGUAUCGCGUAGCUAAUACACCAUCAAAGCAGUAACAUCGCGUUAAUGAGAAAUCAUUAUGGAUUCAAUGACUAAAUCGCCUAUUCUGUUUUUUGAAUAAGAGGAGCUCAUCUUUUAUUAUUGCCCA